GCCUUCAUAGCUCAGUUGGUAGAGCGCCUCCCCUGUAAGGAGGAUGUCGCGGGUUCGAACCCUUGCUGAAGGCU
rnacentral:tRNA from 1 species